rnacentral:rRNA from 1 species
UACGAAGGGUGCAAACGUUGCUCGGAAUUAUUGGGCGUAAAGCGCACGUAGGCGGCAUUGCAAGUCGGAUGUGAAAUCUUAUGGCUUAACCAUAAAAGUGCAUCCGAAACUGCAGUGCUUGAGUACUUAAGAGGAUCGCGGAAUUCCCGGUGUAGAGGUGAAAUUCGUAGAUAUCGGGAGGAACACCAGUGGCGAAGGCGGCGAUCUGGGAAGAUACUGACGCUGAGAUGCGAAAGCGUGGGGAGCGAACGGG